UGGAGGACUGACUGACCCUUGAAAAAAGUAGCUGAGAACCAGCAGCUGAAGAAAGUUUCUAAAGGCUCAGCAGGGGUUAGAGUUAGAAGGCUCUGCCACUAACAUCAAUAACAGGAUCUGUGACAACACUUGGAGAACAUUUCCACCACGCUCACCAAGAAAGGUUCCAAACAUUCAGAGACUGAAGCGCCGACUGAAAGAAAUCUAUGGCAAGAAAAUAUGAGUGAAGUCACAAAUGUCACCAAGGAAAGGAAGAACAGAAAAAUAACUUGAAUAUUCAAGAUGGGCAGCCUAGUUCAACGACACAUCAAGCCUUGUGAAAAGGUGACUCCGAGACAUGGAGGCACAUGCCUGUAGCCUCACCACAGGCAGGUGGUGGUGAAUUCUACACUAACCUUGGCUACACAGUGACACACUGCCCCAAAACAGAAACAAAAAGCAAAAAGUUUCUCAGUGAACCUCAGAAAAGGUUCCUAAGGUAACAAAAGAAUCAAAAUAUGCCCUAGCUCACCCCAAAUGCCAAGAGCCUUGCUAUGUUUAGUAAGCACCUCCAUAAAAUGCUGUUUUCCCGGAAGAGAGCUAAGGGCGCGAAUGAACUCAAAACGCAUUAACCUGAAGUUCUGGAUAUAACUGUCAGGCAUGAGAUUAUCAAAAGAAUCUUUCUCACCCUAGAAUC
rnacentral:lncRNA from 1 species